UGGGGAAUUUUGGACAAUGGGCGAAAGCCUGAUCCAGCAAUGCCGCGUGUGUGAAGAAGGCCUUCGGGUUGUAAAGCACUUUUGUCCGGGAAGAAAUCCUUGGCUCUAAUACAGUCGGGGGAUGACGGUACCGGAAGAAUAAGCACCGGCUAACUACGUGCCAGCACCGCGGUAAUACGUAGGGUGCAAGCGUUAAUCGGAAUUACUGGGCGUAAAGCGUGCGCAGGCGGUUUGCUAAGACCAUGUGAAAUCCCCGGGCUCAACCUGGGAACUGCAUUGGUGACUGGCAGGCUAGAGUAUGGCAGAGGGGGGUAGAAUUCCACGUGUAGCAGUGAAAGUGCGUAGAGAUGUGGAGGAAUACCGAAUGGCGAAGGCAGCCCCCUGGGCCAAAUACUGACGCUCAUGCACGAAAGCGUGGGGAGCAAACAGGAUUAGAUACCCUGGUAGUCCACGCCCUAAAACGAUGUCAACUAGUUGUUGGGGAUUCAUUCCUUAGUAACGUAGCUAACGCGUGAAGUUGACCGCCUGGGGAGUACGGUCGCAAGAUUAAAACUCAAAUGAAUUGGAC
rnacentral:rRNA from 1 species